ACGGCAUAGUGUGGACAUUUAUAUAUUAGGUCUUUGAGUCUCUCUUAAGUCUCAUGGAAUAUUUCUUCAUCUAUCUAGAAAAAAUUAGUAAUGACUUUUCUAAUCUA